CCCGCUGAGCUCGCUCUGGGUGACGCCCUGACGGAAGUACAGGGCCCGGUCCGCCCAGCCGAUGCCCCAGACCUGGGACAGAGAGAGGUGGCAUGGCCCCUUGACGGGGACUCUGCUCCAGGCCAGCUCCCGCCACCCUUCAGCGUGGCUCAGAAAACGACAGCUGACGUACACCCAGACCAAGCAGGACCUAGAGGCCUCCUCCCGGCGGCGGAUGGGGACGUCGCUGGAGCUCACGCGCACGUACACCUGGUGGUCGCAGGCGAUGCCCCAGCAGCACUGC